AGAGUUUGAUCCUGGCUCAGAAUCAACGCUGGCGGCGUGCCUCAGACAUGCAAGUCGAACGAUUAAGACUUCCUUCGGGAAGUGCAUAAAGUGGCGCACGGGUGAGUAACACGUAAGUAAUCUACCUUCGAGUGGGGAAUAACGUCCGGAAACGGACGCUAAUACCGCAUAAUGCAGCGGCAUCGAAAGAUGACAGUUGUUAAAGGAGCAAUUCGCUUGAAGAGGAGCUUGCGGCAGAUUAGCUAGUUGGUAAGGUAAUGGCUUACCAAGGCUACGAUCUGUAACCGGUCUAAGAGGACGGUCGGUCACACUGACACUGAAUAACGGGUCAGACUCCUACGGGAGGCAGCAGUCGGGAAUUUUGGGCAAUGGGCGAAAGCCUGACCCAGCAACGCCGCGUGAAGGAUGAAGUAUUUCGGUAUGUAAACUUCGAAAGAAUAGGAAGAAUUAAUGACGGUACUAUUUAUAAGGUCCGGCUAACUACGUGCCAGCAGCCGCGGUAAUACGUAGGGACCAAGCGUUGUUCGGAUUUACUGGGCGUAAAGGGCGCGUAGGCGGCAUGACAAGUCACUUGUGAAAUCUCCGGGCUUAACUCGGAACGGUCAAGUGAUACUGUCGCGCUAGAGUGCGGAAGGGGCAAUCAGAAUUCUUGGUGUAGCGGUGAAAUGCAGAUAUCAAGAGGAAUACCUGAGGUGAAGACGGGUUGCUAGGCCGACACUGACGCUGAAGCGCGAAAGCCAGGGGAGCAAACGGGAUUAGAUACCCCGGUAGUCC
rnacentral:rRNA from 1 species